rnacentral:rRNA from 1 species
CCUACGGGUGGCAGCAGUGAGGAAUAUUGGUCAAUGGGCGGGAGCCUGAACCAGCCAAGUCGCGUGAGGGAUGACGGCCCUAUGGGUUGUAAACCUCUUUUGCCGGGGAGCAAAGUGCCGCACGUGUGCGGUUUGGAGAGUACCCGGAGAAAAAGCAUCGGCUAACUCCGUGCCAGCAGCCGCGGUAAUACGGAGGGUGCAAGCGUUGUCCGGAAUCAUUGGGCGUAAAGAGUUCGUAGGCGGCAUGUAAAGUCAGGUGUUAAAGGCGCAGGCUCAACCUGUGUAUGGCACUUGAUACUUGCAAGCUGGAGUGCGGUAGAGGUAAAGGGAAUUCCUGGUGUAGCGGUGAAAUGCUUAGAUAUCAGGAGGAACAUCGGUGGCGUAAGCGCUUUACUGGGCCGUAAUUGACGCUGAGGAACGAAAGCCAGGGUAGCAAAUGGGAUUAGAUACCCGAGUAGUC